CGUAACCAAGCGACGUUACUAACGUCAACAGUACAGGUUUACUCCUGAAGAUCCCGUAAACGGGUGAAACCAGUCGAGUUACAUUAUUUUAUACUAAUUAAUUGGAUUAGAAUAAUUAAAUAAAAUGAAAGCUGUAUUUCUGGUCUCCUGCAUUUUGUUGCUGUCGGUAGCAGCUGUUGUAUAUGCAGACGAGUGUACUGGUAUGUGUACAGCGGAUUGGACCCCAGUUUGUGGAGACAAUGGCGUGACAUAUGGAAACAACUGUACCCGUAUCUGCAGCGGCGCUGGUUUUGCAAAAAAUGGCAAUUGUUUGUAGAUUAUGAUCAACUUAUAUUAAAAGAAAGACUCAAAUUGAAGAUGUAAACUGUAGUAAAGAAAAGAUUAAAAAAUAAAUGGC